GUCUCUAUGGCUCAGUCGGUAGAGCGUUGGUCUCAUAUUUCAUCAAUAUGACCCUGCCUUCAGGUUGGGAUAUCCAAAGGUCGCAAGUUCGAGCCUUGCUAGGGACA
rnacentral:tRNA from 1 species